GAUGAACGCUAGCGGGAGGCCUAACACAUGCAAGCCGAGCGGUAUUGUUUCUUCGGAAAUGAGAGAGCGGCGUACGGGUGCGUAACACGUGUGCAACCUGCCUUUAUCUGGGGGAUAGCCUUUCGAAAGGAAGAUUAAUACUCCAUAAUAUAUUGAACGGCAUCGUUUAAUAUUGAAAGCUCCGGCGGAUAGAGAUGGGCACGCGCAAGAUUAGCUAGUUGGUGAGGUAACGGCUCACCAAGGCGAUGAUCGUUAGGGGGCCUGAGAGGGUGAUGCCCCACACUGGUACUGAGACACGGACCAUACUCCGACGGGAGGCAGCAGUGAGGAAUAUUGGUCAAUGGGUGCAAGUCUGAACCAGCCAUCCCGCGUGAAGGACGACUGCCCUGUGGGUUGUAACUUCUUUUGUAUAGGGAUAAACCUACCCUCGUGAGGGUAGCUGAAGGUACUAUACGAAUAAGCACCGGCUAACUCCGUGCCAGCCGCCGCCGUAA
rnacentral:rRNA from 1 species